rnacentral:rRNA from 1 species
UCCAGACUCCUACGGGAGGCAGCAGUGAGGAAUAUUGGUCAAUGGGCGGGAGCCUGAACCAGCCAAGCCGCGAGAGGGAAGAAGGUACAGCGUAUCGUAAACCUCUUUUGUCAGGGAACAAAGGCGGGGACUAGUCCCCGGAUGAGGGUACCUGAAGAAAAAGCAUCGGCUAACUCCGUGCCAGCAGCCGCGGUAAUACGGAGGAUGCGAGCGUUAUCCGGAUUUAUUGGGUUUAAAGGGUGCGCAGGCGGCCUGUAAGGUCAGCGGAAAACCCCGGGGGCCCACCCCCGGCGAGCCGUUGAAACUGGCGAACUCGAGAGGGAGAGAAGUAGGCGGAAUGCGCAGUGUAGCGGUGAAAUGCAUAGAUAUUGCGCAGAACUCCGAUUGCGAAGGCAGCCUACCGGCUCCUGUCUGACGCUGAGGCACGAAAGCGUGGGUAUCGAACAGGAUUAGAUACCCCUGUA